GUCGAACGGAACGACAGGAGCUUGCUCCUGGGCGUCGAGUGGCGGACGGGUGAGUAAUGCAUAGGAAUCUACCCAUGUAGUGGGGGACAACCUGGGGAAACUCAGGCUAAUACCGCAUGAGCCCUUCGGGGGAAAGCAGGGGAUCUUCGGACCUUGCGCUAUUGGAUGAGCCUAUGUCUGAUUAGCUUGUUGGUGGGGUAACGCCCCACCAAGGCGACGAUCAGUAGCUGGUCUGAGAGGACGAUCAGCCACACUGGGACUGAGACACGGCCCAGACUCCUACGGGAGGCAGCAGUGGGGAAUAUUGGACAAUGGGCGCAAGCCUGAUCCAGCAAUGCCGCGUGUGUGAAGAAGGCCUGCGGGUUGUAAAGCACUUUCAGUGGGGAGGAAAAGCUCAAGAUUAAUACUCUUGAGUCUUGACGUUAUCCACAGAAGAAGCACCGGCUAACUCUGUG
rnacentral:rRNA from 1 species